AGUGGCGAACGGGUGAGUAACACGUGGGUAACCUACCAUAUAGACAGGGACAACAGUUGGAAACGACUGCUAAUACCUGAUAACAUAAGCUAUCGCAUGAUAGGUUAUGGAAAGGGGCGUAUGCCUCACUAUGUGAUGGACCCGCGGCGCAUUAGCUAGUUGGUGAGAUAAAAGCUCACCAAGGCGACGAUGCGUAGCCGACCUGAGAGGGUGAACGGCCACAUUGGACUGAGACACGGCCCAGACUCCUACGGGAGGCAGCAGUAGGGAAUUUUCCACAAUGGGGGCAACCCUGAUGGAGCAAUGCCGCGUGAGAGAAGAAGGCCUUCGGGUUGUAAAUCUCUGUUGUAAGGGAAGAAAAUUGAUAAGAGGAAAUGCUUAUUAAGUGACGGUACCUUACCAGAAAGCCACGGCUAACUACGUGCCAGCAGCCGCGGUAAUACGUAGGUGGCGAGCGUUAUCCGGAAUUAUUGGGCGUAAAGGGUGCGCANGCGGUUGUAAAAGAUUGUGGUUAAAGAAUGGGGCUCAACCCCAUAAUGCCNUGAUAACUUUACAACUAGAGUGCAGAAGAGGAGAGUGGAAUUCCNUGUGUAGCGG
rnacentral:rRNA from 1 species